GACGAACGCUGGCGGCGUGCCUAAUACAUGCAAGUCGAGCGAAUCUUUUGGGAGCUUGCUCCCUUAAGAUUAGCGGCGGACGGGUGAGUAACACGUGGGUAACCUGCCUGUAAGACUGGGAUAACUUCGGGAAACCGGAGCUAAUACCGGAUAGGUUCUUUUCUCGCAUGAGGGAAGAUGGAAAGAUGGUUCUGCUAUCACUUACAGAUGGACCCGCGGCGCAUUAGCUAGUUGGUGAGGUAACGGCUCACCAAGGCGACGAUGCGUAGCCGAGCUGAGAGGGUGAUCGGCCACACUGGGACUGAGACACGGCCCAGACUCCUACGGGAGGCAGCAGUAGGGAAUCUUCCGCAAUGGACGAAAGUCUUACGGAGCAACGCCGCGUGAGCGAAGAAGGCCUUCGGGUCGUAAAGCUCUGUUGUUAGGGAAGAACAAGUACGAGAGUAACUGCUCGUACCUUGACGGUACCUAACCAGAAAGCCUCGGCUAACUACGUGCCAGCCGCCGCCGUAACAC
rnacentral:rRNA from 1 species